ACGCUCAGAGAUGUAAAUUGAGAGAUUGCAGAACUUAAUUUGGUGGGGGUUAAAAAAUCAAAACCUCUCGCGGGUUCUCUCCAUUUCUCUGCAUAUUUGACUCUUCCCUUCACAGCCUAGGACGCACCGGAAAGAUUUGCUGCAGUUGAGUUUCUUGCCGUUGAGGGAUAUCCUGGCAUAACCCUUCUGAUGGCAUGGCUUUUGGAGUUUAGCCUUGGUUUGGCGAAGCCCACGAAUAUUUUACUGUUUCAGAGUCUUGUUGGAAAAACUAAUGGGCAUUGCAGUGAGGUCUCCUCUCAGGCUGAUAUGUGGAAGAAUUGACAGGAGAUGUUAAGAGUCUGUUUCCAUUGAAAAUCAGAAGUGCUGCUUUAUAACCUCCAUGUGAGAAGUUGGUUUGCUGUUCUAGCUUUGAUGCAUAUCACUAAAUUUUUCUGUAUUCUUGAGGAUUAAGAUGAAGAUAUUUUAAUAAAUAUAAACUUAUAUA